ACCAGGUUUUGGAGCCCAAACUUCAUUUUGGCUCCAAAAACCUGUUUUUGGUGGCGUGUGGAAGACAGCGAAACUGGGUUUCGUUGCAUAAAACCAGGUUCGAACCAGGUUUUGGAAAACCUGCCAUCCCCUGCCUUUUUCAUAUCAAAACAAGGUUUUUGAUGAGCAAGAGCGUCUUGGCAUGGACUUAAAGCUUCUGGUGUUGCUCUGUAGCAGCAUGGGCAGAAACUGGUGCAUCUCCUUGCGAUCAGCAAGGGAGAAUUGUUGGGCGUUUGAUUUGAUGUUCAUUUGCAGUUCGUGAAUCAAUUGCUGCUAUUUAUACCGAUCAGCCCUUCAUUGUGAAGCCAUUGCAAGGCAUUGAUGCAGAAACAAAGGUGUUUGUUGUAGAUCAGAGUAAUGUCUGGAAAAGGUUCUAAAAGGUCGGUUUGGACAAAGCCCAGACUAGUAAGUUUUGUUGAAAAUUUAGACUCUAAUUCUUUAGUAAUUUUAUUUUUGAUACGUUAUAUAUUUCAUUUAUUAUGAUGAAGGUACAAUGAAUGAAGGUGAGAGUCAAUCUCAGGAAUAACAAAUUAGACAAGUUAAUGCUUGGCAUUAUGUGUGAGAAUAUGACUCGUGGAAAGAAAACUGGUGGUGGGUUUGAUGGGACAGGUUGGAAUAAGAUUGUGCACAAGUUCCAUCUUAGAGCCAACAUAAACUAUGAUAAAGAACAACUUAAGAACAGAUUUGGGUCCCUGAGAAAAUUGUACAAUAUUAUGAAAGACAUGUUAAGCUAAAGUGGAUUUGGCUGGGAUCCAAGUACUAGAUGCGUAGAUGUAGCUGAUGAGGUGUGGAAUGAUUACUUACAAGUGAUGAUCAGUUCAUUCUUGUUCUUUAAUAAACUCUUCAUGCUACUUAUGAUGACAAGUAAUUAAAUUAUAUAUUACAAUAGAGCCAUCCUAGUGCUAAAGAUCACCGGAUACGAGUUUCAAAUGUAUAGAUGAAAUGAAUAUUAUUUGUUCAAAUUCAAUAUCUUGUAGCCUUGGAUCAAGUGCAGUGCAUUUAAAUCAAUGCAUAAGCAAAGAAACACCUUACAUACCUUUGACUGAUGAAGAGCACAUCGCCAUUUAUAACACAACUCUAACCACUCCUACAUCUGGUAGUUGGAUCAAAGUUUGGGAUCAUUAAAUCAUAAUGCAAAUGUUGAUAAUGUAGAAGCGAAUGUGAAAGGAUCUGACUUUCAUAGGCCAACUCAAUGAUAAUGUAAAAUAGGUCAUGAAAGGUUUAAUAUAUCUGAUUUAUUAGAUUCUAUUUGACAUUUUGCCUCUUCUUCUAGGGAGAGAAAUAAGAAGAUGGUUAAAUACCAUGAACAAAAAGAAGCUCGACUAGCAUUGCAUGAAUCAAAUGUUACACGUCGUGAAACAUAUUUUGUAACUGCAUGUAUAAAUAAGGUUGUCAAGAUUGAAGAUAAUAGUGAAUUAAUUAUGCAUGCUAUCGAUGCAUUUAAUGUUGAGACUUGUAGCAUUCAUGGCACUUCCUGAGCACCUUCGCAAGAGUUGGUUGUAGCAUCUUAAGAAACAAAAAUAAGGUAUCAUAAAUUAUCUAUUUGAUGUGAUUGAUGUUCAUUUUCAUACGUUAUUGUUUCGUCAUUGGUGAUAAUCUGAUUUAUUUUAUGUUAUCUAUAUAUUGCAAUGUGCAUGUUAUUUACAGAUGUAUCUGUUCGCAUCCCCAAAAUUUCUUUUGGUUUUUGAAGUGUUUUAGAAAAUGAGUUUUUGUUUUGCAAAUGAGAGAGAAAGGGACUUGCCCAUCGGUACGAGAAUCGACCGUUCCCGAUGCAUUUACUAUGCAUAAUAAAUCCAAGGGCUACGCUUAUUCUUGAUGCAUUUCGUUUUGACUUGAACAUUCGUUUUCAUUCUAUAUGCGAUGUAGUGUUUGAGAAAAUGUUGAAGAUUUGAUGUUUCGAACUUUUGAGAAAGUUUUGAAGAAUCUUUUGAGAGGGUAAAACAUUUUGGUUCGAGAAAUUUUGAAUUGAGAAAUCUUUAUAAAUAUUUGAAAAACUUUGGAGAUCACUUUCGAAGUCACUUUAGUGUUCUCUUAAGGCUUUAAGUAGGUUUGAGGACCGUUAAGGAUGAUUUCAAUAUUGGGUCAUUACUUGAUUUUUGGUCUUGGUGAAGUCAAAAAAUAAAAAGAUCUUGAGAGAAAAAUGUUCAAAAGAAUAGAAAAGAUGAAAGACUUGAUCACAAGAGAGAUAUAGAGAAAGAGAGAGAGAGAAAAAGAUCUUGAAAAUCACAAAAUCAAGGAUUUAAGAGAGAGAGAGAGAGAGAGAGAGAGAGAGAGAGAGAGAAAUGCACAUAUACGUGUACAUUUUAUAUCAAAUACACAUAUAUGAAAGUUUAUAAAAAGAGGAUAUUGAUUCGAAGAAAAAGAGAGAUUUUGGAAGAAAAAAAAAAAAAAAAAAAAAAAAAAAAAUAUAUAUAUAUAUAUAUAUAUAUAUAUAUAUAUAAAAUUUGUAGGAGAAGACAUUUAAUUGAAGAGAAAAAUAAAAGACUAUGACAUAUAUAUACGAAUGUGUCUUCAUGAGAUUAGAAAUCCGGAAAUGACUUAAAAUAUCCGACUUCAAUUUUUAUGUAGGCCGGAGAGGAACUUAAGCUCAUGCAAGAACCUAAGCUAAGUCUCCAAAGCUGUAUUAGAAAGGGUAUUUGCUUUUAAAAAUCUUUUGGAAAAGCAUGAUUUCAAAUAUUUUAUAUAUUAACAUGAAACAUUAUUGUUUUGUUUAUUACAAGGGAAUAUAUUUCUUCCACCGUUGGGUAUGGAAGAAAACCAAGCAACAUAAUAAGGCACUCAUUAUGGUUCCUAAUUGGGUGGUUAAGAGGAAAACUAUACGUAAGAAUGACAUGAAAAUGCAUAUUAACAUGUACAUAUUCGUGAGGGUUUUUCCGGGUUGAACAAAUCCCAACUUCAUACAUGAACAUAAUAAUAGAGAAGAAUCUCAGCCCAAACACUCAUUCUCACCGUUCAUUAAUAUAUAAAUAGAAAAAUCAAUCAACUAUGCAUGCAUAAUAUCUCAAAACAAAGUAACACUUAAGAGAAAAGAGAAACAUGUUUUUCUCCUAAAAUGAAAUAAUAUUUCUCCUUCUCACGCUCUCGGUGUACUGAAGAAUAGCUCUUGACUCCGAACAAGAGAUUUGAGAGCUAUCUUACAUGACCAUGGGGAGAUGAAGAAGGGAGAAAGAAAAAUAAAACAAGAACUACAUACCUCUAGUAUCUUCUUAUGCUCUCUUGAAGAGUUGGAACUUUAGUAUCUUCUUAUGCUCUCUUGAAGAGUUGGAACUUGAAGAAGAAGAAGAGGAAGAGAAAUGGAAAAGAAGAAUCAAAUCUUCAAGUGAAGAAUCAUUAGAAAUUCUUCCAAGGGUUAUCCCAUGCCCAAGAGAGAAAAUUGUGGGGGUAUUUAUAGAGAGUUUUGGAGCCAAAACUCAAAAUUUGAUAUUUUUUUUUAAUUUUACAACAUUUUAUAUUUUCUAAAUAGGUUUUGACUAAGUGGAGUUGGCCAUUAGCCCUGCAAAUACCCUUUUGGGGUGUGGGCAGGCUAAUGCCCAUUCAACAAGCCCAAAAUCACCCCCAAGGGGCGGUUUUUCAUCAAAAUGGGAAGCCUUGCCGCACUAGUAUCCAACAGGCACACUCGUGCGUGGCUCUUACUCACGCACGAUGGCGCGCUCGCGUUUACCCAGCCGUGCAGUAGUUCGCGCACGCCGGCGGCCCGGCGCGUUCGUCUUUUUUAAAAAAAAAAACAAGAUAAAAUGAAAUAAAAUCAAAUAUAAUUGAAUAAAAUGCAUAAAUAAUAAAUAAAUAAAGGUUGUUUAUAUAAGAAGCAUAAAAACAUUUUUUUUAUUUAAAAUGUGUAAAAAAAUGAUUUUCGUUACAAAAUGGGUAACUGACUCCGUUUUGAAUGACUCUGGGCUAGUUUUAGAGUUGGAUUGGGUUCAAUUGGUUGCCGACGCCUUCUACUGAAUGGUUCAAAGAUUAGAAACAUAAUUUUGGUGCGAGGACGAGACAUAAAACAAAAGGGAAGGUCAUGCACGUGUGCACGAUGCUCAAUAGCAUUAAAUUUUGGAUUCUGUGUUUGAAAGGCUCGAUUUGGAUUUAGACUGUUAUUUUGGAUCCGAGAAUUGGGUUUUGGAUUUGAAUCUCGCUUUUACAUUUGGGCUUUGACUUUGAAUUUUGUGUUUGUAUUCGGACAAAGGUUUAGAAAUUCAUUUUGGAUCGAAUAAUCGUGAAUUUGUUUUCGGUCUAGGAUUGAGCUUGCGGUUUAAAAAUUUAAAUCCAAAUAACUGAGAAUUUUGUUUGGAUGAAAAUAAAAUACACCCCUUUUGGAAAACUGUGGGGUGAUAACAGAAUCUUACCAUACAUGUUAUUUACAAAUGUAGCUUAUCUAAUUUACAAAAUAUGAAAAGUUCAAGUACAACAACUAAUCGUGAUAUCAAAUACUUUACUAGUAAGACCAACAAAUAUUCUACUGAAGAUGAGUACAAACAAUGCACAGUUGAGAACAUUGUAAUUGGAGCGACGUGUGAAACAACUAUGAAAUUUUUACAUAAACUUCUUAAGCAUGUUUCAAAAUUUUCUGGGCAUCUUAGGUUAAUAGUAUUCUUUUUUACAGUUGGUGUUGUUGCACAUGCAUUUUCAUGGUAAGAGACUAUGAUCCAACUACACGAUACAAUGAUAUAUCGUUUUCCAUCUAAGUAGUGCAGGGUCCAAUGGAAGGAAGGGCAACCAAUCAUUCAAAAUGCAAAGUGUGUGUGGAAGCAAGUAGGUAGGAAUGGAAGCUGUGCUGUAAAUGAUACACUUUAUGGUCACGAACAAUUAUCACGUGACUUAUUUCGUAUGGAUGCACCAAUUUUUUUAUCUCUUACUCACUUGCUGAAAGACAAAGGUAUAUUACGUGAUACAAGAAAUGUAACGGAUGAAGAAUAAUUAGCGAGUUUUAUGAUGGUCAUUGGAUAGAAUAAACGAGAUUAUGUUUUGAAAGACCAUUUUCAACAUUCUAGUGAAACCAUUUUCAAACACUUUCAUGACAUUUUAAAGGGAGCUCUACAAUUAAGUCAUGAGUUUGUAAAGAACCCAAGUGUUAAUAUGCCACCAGAGAUAACAAGUGAUCCAAAGUUUACGCGAUUCAUGGUACCUUUGUAACAUUUAUGAUAUACUAUUGAAAAAUUCAUUUCAUGAUGAAUUUAUUUUAACUUAUUGUACUUCAGUGUGAGGAUUGUAUUGGAGCAAUAGAUGGUCCACACAUUUCAAUGAUUGUUCCAAUAGAAGAUCAAGUUAGAUGUAGAAAUAGAAAAGGAUUCAAUUCACAUAAUGUAAUGUGUGCAUGUACGUUCAAUCUAUGGUUUACUUUUAUUUAUGUGGAUGGAAAGACUCUACAGCUGAUGCAAGAAUAUUAGCUAAACUUUUGGAUAACCGAAGUUUGGGAUUUCCUUCGAUUCUAGAGGGUAAUAUAAUAUCACCCCAUGUUCAUAAGUCUUUGAGUCAAACUUCUGCUUUGAUAACAUUUUUCCUACGUAGGUAAAUUUUACCUUGUUGACUCAAGCUAUGCCAACGCUCUCAAAUUUUAUGCUCCGAUAUGUGGUUAUUCUAUAUCAUUUGAAAGAAUUUACAAAUAGGCGUUCAUUUAAGAAUGAUGAAGAACUAUAUAAUUUUAGACAUUCAUCACUUAGGAAUGCAGUCGAAUGUUGUUUCGGCAUUCUAAAAGCUAGAUUCCCAAUUCUAAAGUUGCAGUUUCAUAUCCUGUUGACACACAAAGUGAUAUAGUUAUUGCAGCUUGUACAUUACAUAAUUAUAUUCGAAUGAAUAACAUUGAUGAUUGGAUAUCGAGAGACUCUGGAGAAAAAUGGAUUCCACCACAAACACAUGAAGAUCAGGCUCCAAGAGAGUGUCCAAUCGAGCACAUAACUCUACAUGCACACGUGAUGCAGCCAAGGCAUUUAGAAAAUCAAUUGCAUGGGAUGAUUAUGUUCAUGAAAGAGAUAGAAUGAAGGUCACAUGAAACAUGAAAAGACACGAAGAUACUAUGUAGUGUUUGAAGGAAGAGUUACUAGCAGUCAACAAGCAUAGUGCACAAUCAAAAUGCCAAGUGCUCAACUGUUAAACUAAUUAUUUGCUCCUCUUUGUUAUGUUUUUCUAUUUAAUAAGGUGACAUGUAACUUUAUCAACUUACUGUGUGUGAAUGUGUUGUGGAUUACAUAUCUAUGAUUAUGCUUAAAUUAGAUGACUUUAUUAUGCUUAAGUACCAUACUACCUAGUGUGCUUAAAGAGCUUGAAGUUAAUAAUCUCCUACUUCCAUUCCAUAUGCGUCACACAAAGCUUGAAUAGGUUUUGGUUAUUGUAGAAAUAAAUAGAUCCAAAUCAAUUUUUUUUUUCUUUUAAGAGUUAGCUAACUGAAAAAGAAAGCAAAAAAGAGCACGAAGGUGUGGGUCCAUAGCAAAAAAAUAAAAGAAGAAAGAAGGAAGGGAAAGAAGGCAAGAAAAAGUAAGAUGAAUGAUGAAAAGGGUAACAAAGGUAUAAUUCUUUAGUUAGUAAGGUUUUCGUCAACCUAUUUCACAUUUUUGAGGUUGAUUCAUGCUCGUCUUGUAAAAUUGCCCACAACUGGAAGAACUAUCAACCUUUGAAUCUUUCAUAGUUGAGGAGGAGGAGGGUUCAGGUAAGGUGCUCUUUUAUGGGCUGGGGGUUAUCCAUUUCGUACCAAUAUAAUUCUCCUCUAGUGCGUUAUGGGUUUCAUCUUGCUUGAUUGAGGUGGUUAUUGCAUAGUCUACAGGCUCAAAGGAAGCAUGAUAGAAAGAUAUUUGCUGUUAAAUUUAUGUUAAAUGCUCUUUAUUUGUUAUUUUUGAUUUCUAAGCUUGCAAGUUAUGUCUGAAUCUAUACAGGUUCUUUUUUAUGAAGUAUAUGAAUACUGAGAACUAUAUGUGUGAUUCCUUUUUCAAUAGAUGAACCUUUGAAUGUUGGCUACUUAUAGAACAUGAUUUCUUAUUAUUUGCCAUUUUGGUUGGCCUUUUUGUGGCUUCCUUGCUUAUUCUUCACAUGGCUUCACCUAUGCAGUACAAUUUCCAUUUUUUCAUUCAUAUUUUUUUUCUCAUUUUCCCAGGUCCUCAUCCUAACGCCCACAUGCAUCAUAUCAACAAUGAGUAAAGGCACUUGAAAGAUUUAGGUCAGUCUGAUUGUGGCCUUGGAUCAGCUUGCUCGUGGCCUUGGAUCAACUGCUGCCCUUGAAUUUUUUGGGUUCAAUAGAAAAUUGGUGAAAUUUAUAAAGCCUAUCAGAAUCUUAAACAGGCAAUUACAUACCUAGAAAAAUCUGCUUGCCUGUUCCAGAGUGAAGAAGUGUCAACUUCUACAAUCUGUGGAAAACAUCACUGCUGUUGAAGGCAACAAACAAAUUGAAAGACAUGGAUGAGGAGGACGAUCAUGUCCUUUGCUUCUUGUGGCCAUAGGGAAAAGGUUGUUGCAUGGAGCUGUUUGGAGGCAAUCAAUAUUUAUCAUGAUUGUAUAAUUUUUAUACCCAACUUCUAAUUUUUGUGCUCAAAUUCUAAGGAAGAAUGCUUUGUAACUUUUGGUACUAACUAUAUAAUGCUAUUGGUUGUUGACACA